AGUGAACGCUGGCGGUAGGCCUAACACAUGCAAGUCGAACGGCGGCACAGUAAGAGCUUGCUCUUACGGGUGGCGAGUGGCGGACGGGUGAGGAAUACAUCGGAAUCUACUUUUUCGUGGGGGAUAACGUAGGGAAACUUACGCUAAUACCGCAUACGACCUACGGGUGAAGGCAGGGGAUCUUCGGACCUUGCGCGAUUGAAUGAGCCGAUGUCGGAUUAGCUAGUUGGCGGGGUAAAGGCCCACCAAGGCGACGAUCCGUAGCUGGUCUGAGAGGAUGAUCAGCCACACUGGAACUGAGACACGGUCCAGACUCCUACGGGAGGCAGCAGUGGGGAAUAUUGGACAAUGGGCGCAAGCCUGAUCCAGCCAUACCGCGUGGGUGAAGAAGGCCUUCGGGUUGUAAAGCCCUUUUGUUGGGAAAGAAAAGCAGCAGGUUAAUACCCCGCUGUUCUGACGGUACCCAAAGAAUAAGCACCGGCUAACUUCGUG
rnacentral:rRNA from 1 species